rnacentral:misc_RNA from 1 species
CAAAGUUCAGAGUCGCCAUAGAUAAAAAAUACCAUACAAAGUGGGUAUUGGCUAAGGUUCUUUGAAGCCUCAAACGCGAGAGAGAGGCAACCAUGGCAAUCCUCGCGCUCCCUUUAGUCAUCUCCUUUCUAAAGCCCCAAGCAGCCCGCCUCUCCUUCCUUCGCUUAUCUGCUAGAACAAAACCUAGCUGCCUCGGCUUCAAUCACCGCCACUUCACUAGAACCUCUGUCUCUGCAAUCAGCACCUCUGCAGCUCCACAACAUUCUUCAACUGACCCCAACAAUAAGCCCCUAAAAACAUCUGUCCCUACGUUUCAACAAGCCAUUCAGCGACUCCUGGAAUAUUGGGCUUCGGUUGGAUGUGCAGUAAUGCAAUGCAGCAACACAGAGGUUGGAGCUGGGACUAUGAAUCCUCUAACCUUCUUAAGGGUUCUUGGCCCAGAACCAUGGAAUGUGGCGUAUGUGGAGCCUAGUAUCCGUCCAGAUGAUAGUCGUUAUGGGGAAAACCCAAACCGCCUUCAGCGCCAUACUCAAUUUCAGGUUAUACUAAAACCCGAUCCUGGAAAUUCACAAGACCUCUUUAUUCGUAGCCUAUCAGCUUUAGGUAUUGAUGUUAGUGAACAUGACAUCCGAUUUGUGGAGGACAAUUGGGAGAGCCCAGUACUUGGUGCUUGGGGUUUGGGUUGGGAAAUCUGGAUGGAUGGGAUGGAGAUCACUCAGUUCACCUACUUUCAGCAGGCUGGAAGUCUUCAAUUGGCACCAAUAUCUGUUGAAAUCACUUAUGGUCUUGAGCGGAUACUCAUGUUGCUUCAGGGAGUUGACCAUUUUAAGAAAAUUCAAUAUGCCAAUGGGAUUACAUAUGGGGAGCUGUUCUUGGAAAAUGAUUCUCUUUCAGGAAGGAAAUGAGUGCAUAUUAUUUAGAGCAUGCUAGUGUUCAUCAUGUUCAAAAGCACUUCGAUUUUUUUGAGGAAGAAGCUCGUUCCUUGCUUGCUUCUGGCCUUGCAAUACCUGCGUAUGAUCAGCUUCUGAAGACAUCUCAUGCUUUCAAUAUCUUGGAUUCUAGAGGUUUUGUUGGGGUAACUGAGCGUGCUCGUUAUUUUGGUCGAAUGCGUAGUUUAGCUCGGCAAUGUGCCCAACUUUGGUUAAAGACCAGGGAGUCCCUUGAACAUCCACUUGGUACUGUUUCUGAAACCAUUCAUCUUGAAUGCGCUAAGGAUGUUCUGGAGGCAGCAGCCAAGAAGGUUCAUGACAACCCAAGAUCAUUUGUUCUUGAAAUUGGGACUGAAGAGAUGCCUCCUCAAGAUGUAGUUCAUGCAAGCCAGCAACUUAAAGAUUUAGUGUUGCAAUUAUUAGAAAAACAAAGAUUGGGCCAUGGUAAAGUGCAAGCUUUCGGCACUCCCCGCCGAUUAGUGGUUUAUAUUGAGAGUCUUUGCACUAGGCAAGCAGAGAAUGAAGUUGAAGUUCGAGGACCUCCUGUUUUAAAGGCCUUUGAUGAACAGGGAAAUCCUACAAAGGCUGCUGUGGGUUUUUGCCGUAGAUACAAUGUGUCAGUGGACUCAUUGUUUAGAAAGGUAGAUGGAAAAAUGGAAUAUAUUUAUGUCCGUAUAACAGAAGCUGCUCGACUUGCUUUGAAGAUUCUAUCUGAAGAUUUGCCUGUUACUAUCAGUAAAAUAUCAUUCCCAAAGGCAAUGCGCUGGAACUCUCAGGUCAUGUUCAGCAGGCCAAUUCGUUGGAUUAUGGCCUUGCAUGGAGAUGUGGUGGUUCCAUUUGCAUUUGCUGGAGUUUUGAGCGGUAACAUAUCUUAUGGCCUUCGCAAUACUCCUUCAGCUACUGUUCAGGUAUGUAUAAAACUAUGUUCAGAAUUUUCUGAGCUCCCCUUGCUUGUCAAAUGAAGUACUAAGUAUAAUGCUUUGGAUUAUGCAUACGCCAGAAAGCAAUGUGAAAAAACUUGCAGAAAAAUCCUGCACCCAUACUCUAAAAGUGCAUCUAACUAAAUCUCAACACAUACUCCAUGAGUUGAGGGGGAAAUCUGUUGGGUUACUGUUUCCUCUUGGUUCAUCAUUUUUAUUCUUCCCAUUUCAAAUGGCUUCUCUCCUUUUCCUUCUUUAUAAUGACUGAAAUAGUGAAGGCUGUGAAGCCAUUCUAUGAGUCUUGUUUCUUUGGUCUACAGAAGAGAUGUACAAGUAGUGUAAAUUUUAGAGCUUUGUUAAAUUUGUUACAUGUAAGUUCAUUAUAUACAUUUAUCUUGUUCAUCCACUAGCAUAUGUUGUUCUGCUCAAGUGUUCAAUUCACAACCACAAAAAUUUUCACAGGUUGAAAGUGCGGAAUCUUAUGAAAGUGUAAUGCAGAAUGCUGGUAUUUUUAUUGAAAUUGAGGUAUCAUAGAAUGGUUGGUGGCAUUUUGUUUUGCUUCCCCCUCUUUCAAAAUGGUUUAGAUUUAGACUAAAUAGACUUGGGAUUAGAAUGAAAUUUUAUUUUUGCCCUCAGGAAUGAAAGUUUAUUUUUAUCAUCAGGAACGAAAGAAAAGUAUCUUGGAGCGCUCCAAGGCACUGUCAGAAAGUGUCAAUGGACAUGUCCUUAUUCAGGAAAGCUUACUUAAUGAGGUUGUAAAUCUGGUUGAGGCACCUGUUCCAGUACUAGGGAAGUUUAAAGGGUCCUUCUUAGAGCUUCCAGAAGAUCUUCUAACAAUGGUUAUGCAGAAGCACCAAAAGUAUUUUGCUGUAGUUGAUGAUAGUGGAAAGCUUCUGCCACACUUCAUUGCUGUGGCAAAUGGAGUUAUCAAUGAGACGGUAGUAAGAAAAGGGAAUGAAGCUGUGCUAAGAGCUCGUUAUGAAGAUGCAAAAUUUUUUUAUGAGAUGGACACCCGUAAGAAGUUCUCAGAGUUCAGGAGUCAACUAAAAGGGAUUCUUUUUCAUGAGAAGCUUGGAACAAUGCUUGACAAGACUAUGCGCAUUGAAAACAUGGUCACCAAACUAAGUCUACAGUUGGGGAUCAGGGAGGAUAUGCUUCAGAUUGUCCAGGAUGCUGCAUCACUUGCUAUGUCAGAUCUUGCUACUGCAGUUGUAACAGAAUUCACUUCCCUUUCUGGAAUAAUGGCACGCCAUUAUGCUCUUAGAGAUGGCUGCUCAGAGCAGGUCCUUCAAUUCACUCAUGUGUAUUUGUCUUCUGAUAUUGAAGGAAAUAGUCUUCUAGCAAUGCAUGAGGGGGGUAGCAGAUGUCUAUCCUCCCCAAAAGCUUGCAAUAUGGGAAGCCUCAUGAAUUGGAAGAUUGGAACACCUUUUUGUUUCAAAUAUUUCAUAUAGGGCUUGUCAUCCCUUUCCUUCAUCAGCAUUUGUGUUGUGGAACCCAUAGUUCAUGUUUCCUAUGGAAUAUCAGUUUCAUGCUGUAUAUUUUUACAGUUUAACCAUGUUUCUUUCUUUGUUUUUCUUUCCAUUGUUGCAGAUAGCAGAGGCCUUGUUAGAAAUCACACUUCCUAGAUUUUCUGGAGAUGUGCUUCCAAAGACUGCAGUGGGGAUAUCUUUGGCGGUUGCUGACAGAUUAGAUAGCCUUAUUGGCUUAUUUGCUGCCGGUUGUCAGCCUAGUUCCACUAAUGAUCCAUUUGGCCUGCGGAGAAUUUCUUAUGGCCUAGUUCAAAUAUUGGUGGUAAAGGAUAAAAAUUUGGAUUUGCUCCAGGCUUUAAGACUUAAAGCUGACAGCCUAUUAAAGCUGAUGCCUGCACAAUAAAUGAUGUAAGAACAAGUUCCUUUUGAAUUAUUAUGAAUUUUAUUUUCUCUGUCAUCAAGUCCAUUGUUAUGAUUAAUUCUGAACACAACUUCCAAAAGCAUCCUUGGCACUAUGAUAUUAUUUCCCUAGCUGAUCCCCCCUCCCCCUCUUCAUAACAUCUCUUCCACCAACUUUUCAUAAGACUCCCUUAAUGAGAGAUACACGCAUAUCUAUCUACCAGCAAACAAAAGGUAGAUCAUCAGCAAAUUGCAAAUCUCUUGUUCAUUUGAGGCAUCAUUUUCAAUGAACUUUUUUCGAGCCAAAUUCUUAUAUAUUAGAAUAUGAGAUAAAGUCAAGCAUAUGUGCACAUAGAAAAUGCACAGAAAAACACACACACGCUGAUGGGAGUGUGAGCUUGCCACACCACUUUAUGUUUAAACUUGCUUCAUGAAUGACUACAGAAUACUGUGCAGAUGGAUUAGAUAUGAGACUGCCCAUUCUGGUUGGUCUCCAAAUAAUACACCUCUUUUUGGCCACAUGCUACCUUAAUUUCUCUUAAUCCUGUGAAAAUCACGAAACAUUAGAAAGCAAAACCUUUCUCAUAAUCAUCUUCUGAUUUCUCAGGUUCUUCAUUCAGUAGUGUUGGAUUAUGUUGCUUACCAUUUGUUAUAUGUUUACUUCCUGGUUCCAUUUAGUAUUAUUCUCUUUCUUUGCUUAUCAUUACAUCACAUGCAUGUACAGUCGUACACAUAUAUUUCCCCCCUUAUAUUUGGACUCUCAUGCUUGUAUUUUUUUUUUUAUUAUUGUUUACUGGAAUAUGGCAAUUGAAUGUGAUGAUUGAAAUCCUCUUUUAGGUAUAUCUAUUUGUUACUUGAAGACUAGAGCAAUAUCUGGUAAGUGUGCCCUUUUUUUGGUAUAACUGGCUCCAACCGGGUAACUGUGCCUUUGACAUCAAAGAGUGCUAAGCUAGUUUAUUACUUGGUGUAUUUUUCUACUUGAUUUUAUUAUGAGAUUUUGAAAGCCAGGGGUGUGCAGUCAGUCAGUUCUGUUCCAAACCGAACCUAAAUAACCAAAAAAAUUGAAUAAUAAAUAAUAAUAAAUGAACUGAAAUAUGGGUUGAACAAAACCAAACUGAAAUUUUUUGCUUGCUUCGGUUAGGUUUAUUGGUUUGGGUCUAUUUUAUUGGGCCUUUUGAAUUUUUAUUUUUUGGGCUUACUAUAAAUUCCAUAAAUUACACAUUACAUAAAAGCCCAUAAAAAGUAAAAAAAGGUCAUAAAUCAGAAAAUAGGUUGGCUCGGUUUUUAUUUUCUUUUUAAUAUGAAAAUAACCAAACUAAACCGAAAACUGAACUUUUUAAAAAAUAAUAACUGAAACACAAUUAAAAUGGUUCGGUUCGGUUUGGUUUUUCUGUUAUAAUCGAUUUUUUCUCUACCCUAUUGAAAACAAUUACUGGACAAAAAAGCUGAACAGAAAAAUCAAAGUUACAUCACUUCUCAUUUAAUGCUUUAUCUGCACAGUAUGAUGAAGUGCAAAUCUUAUCAAUAAGAAAGGUAAAGAGAAAAUGAAGGCAGACAGCAAAAGGGAAAAAUAAAAGUAAAGAAAAUCUAAACUGAAAUAAAAAUUGCUAAACGAACUGUAUCAGUCACAAGUUCCAAGCAAUUCAAGAUGGUCUCCUUUUAAUGUCAUUCUUCCAUUUGUUCCAAAAAUUGAUGACAAAAGAGUUCUGUGGGAAAGUGAAAUAUAGGCCUCUAAACUAUUCUCAGUUUUAGAUUUUCACAUAUUACAGGUGGUUGUCUGCAUCUUUUCUCUUUUUAUGCUUUAUGGUUUCUGGUCAUAUAAUUCAUGCAACUUCAAAGAUUGUUUAGUUGCUGUUGCAUAAUGAUAUUGGUCAAGAUAACAGUGUUAUGAGAAUAUCUUAUUCAUAUUGGGGUGUUUCCAGGUGGAUAAGGGAAUAAGUCCAGAAAUUGUUGUGUCCCUGCAGAGCAUGCAUCCUUACCUUGUCUAGCACCAAAAACAGCAUAUAAAAUGGAAGCCUUGUCAGGAGGUGAUAUGUUCCCAAAAGUAGUUGAAGCUUAUUCUCAUCCUAGGAGAAUUGUCCGUGAAAAGGAUGUAGCCAGGAAUUUCUUGGUGCCUCUCUGUAUGCCUUUUUAAAAUUUUAAGAGGACGAAAGUUACCAAUAUGAGAACUUGUUCUGUGAUAUGCGUGAAUGAUUCUUUUCGUGUUUAAUGAGCAUGGGAAUAAAGAAACAAAAAGAUGAUGUUAUAUCUCAUUUUUUAAUUGUUUUGAAUGAUGUAUCAAUUUCUUGACCUAAAAAUUGGUUUCAGAUGGAAGCCUUGUCAAGAGGCAAUAUUUUCCCAAAGGUAGUUGAAGCUUAUUCUCGUCCUACAAGAAUUGUGCGUGGAAAGGAUGUGGACUCUGAUAUGGAGGUGGAUGAGGCUGCAUUUGAGACAUCUGAAGAGAGAGCUUUAUGGAACGUCUUCUUGUCCACAAAAAGCAAAAUUUAUCCUGGUAUAAAAAUUUUCUUCAUUACAUUAUAAUUCUCCCAUAGGACUGAGGGAUAAUUUUUGCAAGGCAUGUUGCUUUUGGAUUCUAAAUGGUUAGCAUUUUCUUUUCAACCUGGAAAUUGACCAACCGUUCUUACAGGCAUUGAGGUAGAUGAGUUUGUUGAAAUAUCUUCAGAACUUCUACAGCCACUCGAGGAUUUCUUCAAUAAUGUCGUUGUCAUGGUGGUGUGUCUUUUGCAGAACUAACUUUCCCAUUAAAAAAAAAAAAAAAGAAACUACAUCUGUUACUGGAGAUUACAAUUCGGAACAUAAUGAGGUUCUGGUGAUCGUCUAUUCUAUGGCCUGACCUGAUGUUAACUGCAUAGUCGUAUCAUGCAUGGAUCCAUAUUUGGACACAUAAUCGUUUUUCAUUUGUGCAUUAUUAGCCACUCAAAAGAAUUUUAGACCAACUUUUUUAACUAUUCAUUUGUGUAAACCAUGAUCGGUGAAAAUCCAUUAUUUGAGCCUUUAUUUUAAUUGGAUUGAAUAUCCUAGCCCAAAAUAAGCUGCUUGUAGUUGGAGUUUGAGCAAUGCAAGAUCAGACCAAAUCUUUAU